rnacentral:rRNA from 1 species
UACGGAGGGUGCAAGCGUUACUCGGAAUCACUGGGCGUAAAGCGAACGCAGGCGGACUUCUAAGUCGGAAGUGAAAGCCCCGGGCUCAACCUGGGAAUUGCUUUCGAUACUGGAAGUCUUGAGUCCAGAAGAGGGUGGUGGAAUUCCUGGUGUAGAGGUGAAAUUCGUUGAUAUCAGGAGGAACAUCGGUGGCGAAGGCGGCCACCUGGUCUGGUACUGACGCUCAUGUUCGAAAGCGUGGGGAGCAAACAGG